rnacentral:lncRNA from 1 species
GUGGUAGCUGGUUCAACUUUUGUUUAAUAAUCCCGGCUGGUUAUAGUACCAAACUCAAAUCAUUUCUCACGAAUCCAAUUUUUAGUAAAUCAAUCAACACGAUAGAAGAUGUACUGGAGAGUGGACUGCCAUGGGGCAUGGUCAAUUACGAUGAGCUUGAACAACAAAUGAUGGAGAAAAGCAAUGAUUCGAACAUCAAAAAAAUUUGGAAGGACAUGGAGUUUCUUCCUUUUAAUGCCUUGCCCGAUUUUAGUAAUUUAAUUUUUAACUUUUAAACUUAUGAAAGAUGUUUAAACAAAUGUUUGUGACAAUACAUAAGACUAAUAUAAAAAUUGUUGAUUAGGUGGAAUCUGCAUUUCAGUCAAAACGUAUUGUGUUUGAUUAUAGAAUGGGAUUACAGGCAUCAGUUCAAUCCGGCUAUUCGACCCAGGAUGGAUUUUCCUUUGUGCAUAUAUCAGAAGAAUCUAUUUUCAUGAAGAAUCCUGUAGCAUGGAAUUUUAAUGCUAAUAACCCUUGGAAAUUCAUCUUUGAUAAUCAUAUCAAUAAGUGUAUUCGUGCUGGACUCGUGGAUUUUUGGGCAAAAAAGAGUUUGGAUCAACUAAAAAUUGAUUAUUUAAACAAAGGUGGAAUAAUUAAAUCCUACACACCACGUUCAAACGUUUCUGCAUUAAAGGUGGUGGAUUUACAGGGUGCAUUCUAUGUUCUACUCAUUUCUUACGUUAUAUCUACAUUGGUAUUA